AUACGUAGGGAGCGAGCGUUGUCCGGAAUUACUGGGUGUAAAGGGAGCGUAGGCGGGAGUGCAAGUCAGAUGUGAAAUACAUGGGCUCAACCCAUGGGCUGCAUUUGAAACUGCAUUUCUUGAGUGAAGUAGAGGUAAGCGGAAUUCCUGGUGUAGCGGUGAAAUGCGUAGAUAUCAGGAGGAACACCGGUGGCGAAGGCGGCUUACUGGGCUUUUACUGACGCUGAGGCUCGAAAGCGUGGGGAGCAAACAGGAUUAGAUACCCUGGUAGUCCACGCUGUAAACGAUGAUUACUAGGUGUGGGGGGACUGACCCCUUCCGUGCCGCAGUUAACACAAUAAGUAAUCCACCUGGGGAGUACGGCCGCAAGGUUGAAGCUCAAAUGAAUUGACGGGG
rnacentral:rRNA from 1 species